CGGACGGGUGAGUAAUACAUAGGAAUCUACCCAGUAGCGGGGGACAACUUGGGGAAACUCAAGCUAAUACCGCAUACGCCCCACGGGGGAAAGCAGGGGAUCUUCGGACCUUGCACUAUUGGAUGAGCCUAUGUCAGAUUAGCUUGUUGGUGGGGUAACGGCCUACCAAGGCGACGAUCUGUAGCUGGUCUGAGAGGACGAUCAGCCACACUGGGACUGAGACACGGCCCAG
rnacentral:rRNA from 1 species